AUGCCUUAUGUUGGCACAAUGGCAGAUUCCAACCUCAGAGGCCUGGUAGGUGGCAAGUACACCACAGGACAUGCAAAUGCAUUCUCUCUAUUUGUUCAUUCAUGUUUUACAUCUUACUCGAUCAUGUUGGCAUCCAGUAAUCUUAUAUGCAUGUGGUUUCCUCAACCUGGAGUUAAAUACAGGCUGGUCAUGAAUGAGCUUAUAAGUGUUUCUAAUGGUCUUUUUAUGCAUGAAUUAUUCAGUUAUUUGAAUCAUGGGUUUGUUUUGGUAUAUGUUCCUUCGAUGGUGACCUGUUCAGUUGAACUUUUGACAGGCUAG
rnacentral:rRNA from 1 species